UAAGCAUCGAUGAUGACUUACUUCCUUUGUUAUCCUUGCACUAUGAUUGCUAGUGAUGAAACUUAUAGGGACAGUUCAAUCUGAGAUGCUC
rnacentral:snoRNA from 11 species